ensembl:lncRNA
GAGAGAGAGAGAGAGAGAGAGAGAGCGGGAGGGAGGCGCGCAUGCAGACACAAGUUGUGCCUCCCUCUUCCUCCUCUGCUCUUCCAUGAGGAGAAUCAGACAUCCAGUCUGGAGCCGUGUGGGGGGGCAAGAUGCUUUUUCUUCAGGCCAUACUGAAAAGAAGGCUGCUGCAGAAAGGUAAACACAUCCUUAGAAAUGACUCCUGAGUAUUAUUAGUAUUGUUGUUGUUAGUUGGAUGUUUGUGAUAAAUCCCCCCCCCCUGGUUCUCACUUUGAAGUGCCGGAUGAGUUGCGUCGGGAGGGGGGCUGCUGGUGCCGUGGGUUCAUCACAUCAGUAAUAUAAUAUAAAUGUUGUGUUGGUUGUUUGUUCGCUGUGAUUCAGUAUAUUUUUUCUUUUAAUAAUUUUAGCCCUCUAAAAUAUUCUUUGCUUCAUCUGUGGGAACCGUGGGGGUUGGACCUUUAGAGCUCAUUGGUCCUUGGUAUGUUUUAUUCUAAGGAAAAAGCUGCAUUUGUUUUUUAAAUAUAUUUCUGGUUGUUCUUAAAUUGUGAUUAAUUAAAUGACGUUAUGGAAUGAAUUGAAUUGAUUGCGAGUUCCAGCAGCACUAGUUGUGUUUUAAUGGUUAUUCCUCACACAGUAGUGGGGCAAUUGGUUUUUAAAUGGAUCAGUACCUUUUCAUAAUGACUCUGGGUUCCUUUUUUAUGGAAACGUGAUGUUUCUUUGGGAACUAACAGAUCAUUAAAAGUGGCCUCAAAUCAGUUUCUUUCCUCACCUUCACUAUUUCAUGUAAAUUUAGUCUUUUUUUUCAAUAAUCCUCCUGACUGCGUGCACGAGGCGUCCGUGUUUCAGCCAUAGAGGUGUGCGGUUCUUCCCCGUCUCCCUCUUCCUCUCAUUUAUUUAUGCUUUGGGGAUCUAAUACUUUUGAAGCCUGGAGACGCAGUGGAGAAGUCUGCAAAUGGGGACAAAACGCCCCCUGUCGGCGGUCAGGCCGCACUGCAGGGGGGGGGGGGUAAAGCUGUGGAGGACAUAAUUCUCAUAUUUGCUGCCUCUGUCUGGUGUUUAAUAUGUGUGUCACAGUUUUACCGUGUCAGUAAAUUUCCAAAGCCUCUCAUGUCUCCAGAAAGCAGAGAAACCUCUGACAGCUCACAUUUCACUGCAAUAAAAAUAACUGUGACUUCCACAAUCACUUUAUGUGCAACUUCAGCAACGGAGAAUCACCCGUGAGCAAACAUCAUAAUAAUGUGUUUUUAUUAAAUAGCAUUUAAACAAACACAUGCACUGUAAUGUAGAUGAUAAAACCCAGAGCGUGCGUUUCUUUUCCUUCGCUCUCCCUACAGGGAGGUCAGAGGUCACGAUUGCGUUCAGAAGGUCAGCUGCGGGUAGUUGUUCCCCUGCGGACAUGAGGAACUUGAAGCGACUUUUCCUUCAUGGCGGCGUGCCGCUCCGAGUGAGAAGUGUUCCUUUGUUCGGAGUGAAAACCCCCCGAGUGCCUCCCCUCGUUGUGCAGGAAGCCGGUGACGGUUCGUGCGGUGGCUCUGAUUUUGGUGCUGCGGGGGCCACAGGUGGGCUGUGACUUCUUUUUAUCCAGCGAGUGAAAGUCUCUCUGAAGCUCAGUAAUUCCAGGACCUGUGAAGUGAAACCCGUCGCGCUCCCAACCUGAGGGAAUGGAUGUGGCCCUCCGGAGGCGAGUUGCUUCUUCUGGACGCCUGAUGUCCUCUGAAAGAGUCCAACCAGACUUUUGGUCUAAUUUCAUGCAUGGGGUGUAUUACCAUCGUCAUCAUUCGGACUUUUACUUCCUAUCGUGGAGGGAAGCGGUUCGUUGAGAUGAGAAGGUGAUUCUUCAGCACUUUCAUAACAUCACCGAGAUCUCUCCUGGAUUUGUCCGUUUCGGUCUCCCUGCAGAGGACUGGUGAAGCAAGUUCAUUUCCUGGGAUGAUAUGAGACCAGCGUGCUGUAAGCUGAGGAAACACAGUGAUUCCUGUUUCAGAUUUCACUAAUGAAGCCGUAUUAUAUUCUAUUUCUGUCAAUAGAUUCUGAAAAAUGUUUGCUACCAAAGUCCCUAAAGUCCGUCCUUAUUAAGCGUUUUCACCAAAUAAUCAGUCUGUAUUCGUUCGGUACUUUUGGCUGAAGACUUUCAGCUCUUGGACCUUCAAGGGACAAACAGGUUCAUCUUUGAAUGCAGCAGUGACCCAUAAUCAUAAAUAUGUUGGCAAACAUGUGAGAUUUGAACGUUUGGAAUUGAUCUCCCCAGGAUUCUACAGUUUUGCAUGAAUAAUGCGUAGAGGAGGGACUUCUUUCCUGAAGCGAUGAGUAGAAUGAUGUGUUUUGACUGCGAGGACUGAAUGAUUCAGCAGAAGGAACUGAUACUGAGUCGCUGUCCAACCGGCUGAAACCUGAGCUGAGAUGAUUAAUAUAUGACAAAGUUAUGCAGAUUUCUUUCUUUUUUUACAUUAAUCCUUUUCAGGAGUUUGAAACUUCUUCUUCACUCCAUCACAUCUUUUAAUGACGUUACACAUCAAUCUCCCCUUUUUUCUUCGUCUGUAGAGCAACAAUCUCCCACUCGUCCCUCACUCUCCGUCACAAUUUAUUCUUAUAUGUCAUUUAAAAGUCGUAUCUUCUCAGAACAUCCUCAAACAUUUGACUCGGUCCUGCACUCUUUUUCCUUCUCAUUAUCAUUAACCUCGUUGCAUUUCCCUCUCCUUACCCCCCCCCCUCCUCUUCCUGUCUUCCCCUUUUCCUUUCCUCCAUCGCUCCUCUCAGCAAUGCAGAUGUGUUUCUUUGAUUUUGUCACCAGAGAUUAAUUAGUAUUUUAUUAGGAGUCCUAUUUAUACCUCCAGCAAAGAGAAGGAAAAAGGAGGGAGU